rnacentral:lncRNA from 1 species
UACAACCCCCCCCCCCCGCCAGAAUGGCAGCUACAACCUCCCCAAGAUGGCAGCUACAACCUCCCCAGGAUGGCAGCUAUAACCUCUCCCAGGAUGGCAGCUACAACUUCUCCCAGGAUGGCAGCUACAACCCUCCCAGGAUGGCAGCUAUAAACCACCCCCAGGAUGGCAGCUACCACCGCCCCCAAGAUGGCAGCAACAAUCCCCCCAAAAUGGCAGCUACAACCUCCUCGCCCAGGAUGGCAGCUACAACCACCUCGAGGAUGGCAGCUACAAGUCCCCUGCUUUGUUGUGGCAUAAUGUGUCUGGAGUUGGUUCCUGCCGGUGGGUUCGUGGUCUCGCUGACUUCAAGGAUGAAGCCACCGACUUUCGCGUUAUGCCACGGGACCCCAGCCUGCACUGCCAUGUGACUUCAACCGCAUGACAGACCCUGGGCCCAGAGCACUCAGACUCAUGAACAAAAUAGUCCAAAUUGUUGUCUUUGAAGGUUCUUAAGAACUGAAGCAUAAGACUUCCCACAGGACUCUGAGAAGUGGUGUUGCCACAGGCAAAGUGUCUGUGUCCGACAAACCCCAACUCUGGGGGGGCCUGUGAGGAAAUGGAGACUUUCAUUUCCAGAACGUGGAGCGGUACAUUGGUACAACCUCUUUGGAGAGCAAUUGGACAGCAUCAACAAGUUUAAGAAUUGCAUACUCCAUGUUCUACAAUUCCCUUUUUCGGUAUAACACUGAGAAAAUUUUCCACCCGUGGACAAGGAAACAGGCAUAGAGAAGUUUGAACAGCAGCGUUGAUGUUGGCCUCUGCCUGGGGCUCUUCCUCACAUGUACAUUGAGCUGAUUCUUUAUCUCCUUGAAGCCUUUGCUCAAAGAUGCCUUCUCAGUGGUGUCUGCCCUGACCCCUAUCCCCACUGAAAUGGGAGCCUGUUUCCCUCUGC